AAAACAUCGCCUCUUGCAAAAUCAACAAAUAAGAGGUCCCGCCUGCCCUGUGACUAUAUGUUUAACGGCCGCGGUAUUUUGACCGUGCGAAGGUAGCGCAAUCACUUGUCUUUUAAAUGGAGACCUGUAUGAAUGGCACGACGAGGGCUUAACUGUCUCCUUUCCUAAGUCAAUGAAAUUGAUCUCUCCGUGCAGAAGCGGGGAUGAACCCAUAAGACGAGAAGACCCUAUGGAGCUUUAGACACUAAAACAGCUCAUGUUAAAAACCCUCAUACAAGAGACUAAACUAGAUGACCCCUGUCCUAAUGUCUUUGGUUGGGGCGACCACGGGGCAACAAAAAACCCCCGCGCGGAACAGAAACACUGUUUCCAGAACCAAGAGCACCCGCUCUAAGUAACAAGACCUACUUGACCUUUGAGAUCCGGCAUUGGCCGAUCAACGGACCGAGUUACCCUAGGGAUAACAGCGCAAUCUUCUUCGAGAGUCAUAUCGACGAGAGGGUUUACGACCUCGAUGUUGGAUCAGGACAUCCUAAUGGUGCUGCCGCUAUUAAGGGUUCGUUUGUUCAACGAUUAAAGUCCUA
rnacentral:rRNA from 1 species